rnacentral:lncRNA from 1 species
CAUGACACGCCAGGUCAGUACAUUGAAUGUACUUGCAAGACAACCAAAUACAUAGCAUCCAAACAAGCAGAAGAAAAAGCAAGAACCGAGCGCAUGCAACAACCUAUCUCAUAUUAAUUACUAAGCAUGGCAUGAUAAAAGAUCAACUAAACAUGAAUGAAAUCAUAGCAUCUGCAAACAUGGCAAUAACAUGGCAUAUUAGAUCAUGCUUCUAACAUAGCAAAGGUAAAACAUAUCAUAUCAGCUCAAUCAUGGCAUAAAUUAACAUAUCAAUCAAAGCAUGGCAUAGCAUCAUGAAAUUAUGCUGAAAACAAACUACCAAUAAUAUCCAAUGUAGCCAUAGCAUAUUAACUUUAUGCAAUCAUCUUCUGUUCUAUCAUGGUUCUUUAAAUGCAAAUAAUGAUAUAUUACUCAUGCAAUGUAACCAAACUUGUACACCGAGUCCCUCGGACUCUCUUAUCAACGGGUUGCCUCACAACCGAACAGUGAUCUUUCCGGCGAUCACAACCAAACCACCAUUGUGGUCCUGACCAGAGUAACUUGUCAUCCUUAAGGCAAUCACCACCAAAAUAACUCGUGAUCCUUACGGCGAUCACCACCAAAAUAACUCGUGAUCCUUACGGCGAUCACCACCAAAACAUCGUCGUGACUUCUCACGACUAUCUCAUAGUCCAAGUCACCAUAUUUUUGUUAUGACAUAUUUAUUUACCCACUCAAUUAUUGCAGUUUAUCCUCCAUUUCGACCAAGACCUGAUAGUGGGACCUACUACGAACUGUUGCUAUCGAUAGACUUUAUACACUCUGCACAGGUAGCACACUGUACCCACACCACGGAACCCAUGGCCACGUCAUCCCAUUCGGGUGGACCAACGGCAUUCCGACGAACCGACCUACUGCCAUGACGCUCUCCCGGCCACUCCGACCCAAUCCCCAACGGGAUCGUCCUAGGUGGCCGCGUGUGUACCAAAGACACCCUGACCACCGUCGUGGUCAACUCCCACUCGGGGACACUCCCACUCGGGGACUGGUACCAAAAAUCUCAAAAACGAGCACACAAGGUUAUGUCCGCUUACCUGAUCAGGGUAAGCACGCCCAUAACCUUCCCUAGGGGGAGGCACCGGCGAGAGGCACGAAAAUAGCUCGCAUUAAGGCCUUCCCAUAAAGGCAAAUGUGGCUGCACUGAAAAAGUUCAAUUUGGCGGCACUAUGACUCGAUCCCAUCAAUGAUAGAGGAGGUUUGUUAUUAUUAAGUCAUUUUAUUUCCUUCUCCAUCAUCAUGAACAUAUUUAACAUGAGUGCAACAUGCCGCGUACAAAUGCAUGAACAAAAUAUUGAACUUCUCAAGUGCACAACCAUAGCAUAAAGAACGUGACAAUAGCAUAUCAACGGUGCAUAACAGUCCUCAUAACAUUUUAUAACGAUGACAUGUAAGUAAAUUGGAGUAAUAACAUGGCAUUAUUAAUAAUAACAUUCUAAUUAGCAUGGCAAAAGAUAUCAUGAAAACACAAGCAUGCAAGACAGCAUAACGGAAUAACUGUAGAUGAAAAUAGUAUGAAACAACUGCAACUACACACGCACAAGGUGUAAGCAAAGUCAACCUGCAAGUUCGGGGCUCAUGAUAAGAGGUUGGCUUGCCUGGGGGUCGACAAAUACUCCGGGAAGAAGUGGGAAAUGAUCGCGGAAAGAUUUGCCGGAAACAGUUCUCUCUCGGAGGAGGCUGUUUACGGGCAAGGGCAAAAUGGUCAUUUACACUGGGUGAAAAUAUUAUGAAAAUGACAUCAACGGAACGGGCUCUACGAAACGAAGACGUGGGCUUUGGAUUCACCUGAUUCGGAGUUACGGGUAAAAAGAUACGGACGUUUAAAGCUCAGGGACUAGUUUCUAAAAAUACUUCCACGAACAGGUCCCUAGUAGUUUAAACAGAACGUGUCUUUUCCGAGAAUACGUUUUCCAGAGAGGAAAACGUAUUUCCGGCCGAAGCAGAGGGAGGAUACGCUUUCGGUGAUUGAAUACGCUUUCGCGUGAGGGAGACGGCUUCGUGGCGGGGCCCCGCCACUUAACCACGUGGCCGACUGGGCCACGCCCUUCUCUCGUAGACAGGUGGGGCCGCGCGAGGAUGGGCCUGCCUGGCCUGUUUUCUUCCUCCUCCCGCACGACGCGCACCUGGCCGAGGGAGGCGCCCGCCCCGACGGCGCUCGCCGGCGCGUCCGGCCACGGUAGAAGGUGCACGACCCACCGAUCUGCUCAGGGGACAGAGGCGCAUCGGAUGGCAGCGAGCUCCGCCACCGAGGGGCGCUGGACUAGCCGCGGUUGAGCUCGCAGCGGGGAGGAGCUUCGACCACCGUUGAGCAACGUGCUCUGGUAGGGGAGAGGAAGGGCCGAGGCUACGGGGAGGCUUGCUGGGAUCUAUAGGUUGCGGUGGUGGUGGAGGAACGGCGAGAGGGUAGCGGCAUCGCCGAAAUCGAGUGAAGCCCGAGGCGGCGGCCAUGGCGGCGAGGGGGUCAGAGAGAGACUCUGGGGACGAGAGGAGGGAAUGGGGAGGCGUUGUGGCUGCGGACGAGCUCGAGGGCUCUACAUAUAGCCGCGGGAGAGCUCGGGAAGGGGGGCGAGGUGGCACGCGUCAGGCAACGUGUCCAUGCACCGGCGAGGGCACAGCGUCGGCAGGCGCGGCCAAUGCUCACGGGGAACGGCGGGAAGGGGACGAGGAGGACCAAGAUGAGUGCCAGAGAGUCACAGAGACGAGGAAGGCGUGCGGACGAACGGAGGAAGAAGACAUCGGGGAGGAAGACGACGAUGCACAGGAGCGCACUAUUUCGGUUGUUGGCACGGCUCGCCGGAGAAGAAAACGAAGGGGGGGCAGUGGUCGAGAGGGAAGACGACGAUGAGGGGGAACUAUUGGGCAUUGAUGGCGAUACCAGAGGCGGCCGGGCAGCGAUGCCGACGACCACAGUGGCUAGACCACCGUUUUGGCUGGUUACACGCGUGGUCACCACUGGCAUGGCGCGCUCUGGGGUUUCUACUAAAGUAAGUUUAUGUCUACCGCGUAGUCCUUCCAGCGUGAAGUGUUACCAUGGUAAGUAGAAGGGCAGAGACAAACGGAGCUGAUUGAAACAAGCUCCAAAAGUUUGUUGUUGCAAACUCGGCAACACCCUAGAGAUUAAACCAGAGGGGGUAAAAGGUAGAUAAGUUGUCUGGGAGGCUUGGGUUAGAAAGGAUUGCGGUCCUGGGAGUUUUGAGGUAAAAUGGACAACUAUUUAGCAUAGUUGUUAUUCAACCACCAAAACUGACCCAGAAACUAAAUUAUGAUGAAGCACUCACUAGGAGUGAUGUAUUAGGCCAAAUCUUGGCAAAGCCCGAUGAUUUGAACAUACCAUGAUGCUGUAAAAAGUUUAUACCAAAUGGACUCACCAAAAUGGCACUUCCUUCACAUCUACCAUUUCUGUCCAAAAACUUUAGAAAAAUCCUCAGGACAAAUGGACAGAUGAAAUGAGCCACAAUCUUGUGGAGAUAGGUUAUAUUAGUAGGAGAAGGCCUGGGAAAAUUAUCAGCCAUAAUGGAGCAAGAAAAAAAUAUACUUGCUUCACAAACUGAAAAUGUGGACAGAAACAAGGAAUUGCUCCUGUGCUCACAUAGAUCAAUGGAAUGAGAUGAAUUUGGGUGGAGGCUAAUUAUUUGAGAUACUUGAGAGAUGGAAAAGUUUCAUCCCAUUUGGAAACACUAUGAAGGUACUUCCUUCACAAACUUGUGUUCUGGUCAGAAACUUUGAAAAAUUGCACAGGGAGCUAGGAUGAAUGGAUUGAGCUCAUCUUUGGUGUUCAUGGGUUAUUUAACAAUGUUAAACACCCUGCCAAAUUGCAGCUAAAUUGGACUUAGGAAUAAAACACUUCCUUUGCAAAAAAUUCAGAGAAGGCAGAAACUUGCAUCGGAUCAUGUGCUCAAAUUAUGAUCUUUGAAGCUUGAUUUGGGAUGGAAAGUGUGAAGCUAUAGGAAGUACAAGCUCCACAAAUUAUUUGGGAAUUUUCCUUGCUAUAAAAAUGGUAGCUCCUUUGGAAACUGGCAAAAGUGCAAUAUUGGCUUAAUAUAGGAAAAUGCAAUUUUCCUUAUUUAAUUAUGGCCAAUAUCUUUGCCAGAGCUUGGAUUAGGCAUAAGAAUCAACUCCACCAAUUCUCAUAAAUUUAGGACAUGGCUAGCUAUGCCUUUGGAUUUUAUUCCUCAGAAAGGCAAGAAAAGGAAUAAAUCAUAAUUCAAAAAUAUUGCAUUGGGCUUAGCAAUAUUUCUGCAUAUCCAAGGUUCAGAAAGGUAGGAUGAUCUCUGGGAACAAUUGGGACGAUCAACACAGCAAGGACAAUGAUGGCUCCUUUGUAAUCACAAGGGCCACAUUCAAAUUCCAAAAUUUUGGAAUUAGGGUUUGAGAGGGUUUGGGAUGAUGCAAAUGAGGUCUUGCCCACUGAAAGAUACAUGAGCAAGAUUUUGAAAGGUUGAAAUGGCAAAAUUUCUCAGUGUCACCCAGCAAACUCGGGACAAAAUUUUGAAAAUUAGUGCCAGGAAGAAAUAACAGCACAAAAAUUGAUAAUCCAAUUUUGGGGCUGUUACAACUCUUCCCCCCUUAAAAAGAAUCUCGUCCUCGAGAUUGCUAGGGUUACAGCACAAAUUCAAGCGAGAUAGGGGUACCGAUAAUUGGUACACCCGGGGAGGGAUAUGGCAAACCUGGAUGUAUCCACUACUAGGGGCAUUCGAGAUCAAACUCCUGGGAAAAAAAUGCUAGAUGCACCAAAUGAACAAUGGUUUCACCUGCUGACAUGUGGGUCCAGGGCCCACUGGCAGUCUCCUUCUUCUACCUCUGGCUUGCUGCUUCUUAUUCAUCGCUGCUCCACGUGCAGCGUAGCGCAGCGCGCAUCUAGCUUCUAGGGCAAUGAGGACCCUAGUGCCGUAGUGCGCGUCGUGCACGGUGCCGGUGCAGCGAGCACUCACUUCGCGGGCCAGCACCUUGUCGGCACUGCUCACGGAUUCGCCUCCUGGAUGUCGGUGAUCGAGCGACGAGCAGUUCUCUUGGACCUCGCUCACCGUACACCGGGGUUGGGCUAUAAAAAACGGCAGCGCGGCUCUCCUCCACCACACAAACACAAUGCCGCUAUACUACCUCUUCGGUUUGGGCGAGAUCGAGCCGAGCUCCUUCGGCGAGGAGGUGUUCCUGGUGGAGAUGCGGUUGUUCCUCGCAGCGCUGCUGGGCACGCUGAUCGGCUCGUCACUCCUCCUGCUGAUUCUCAUCAGGAAUGAGCGAGCUCGGAACAAUGCGCGGCUGGGUGCGGUGGCUCGAGACGCGGGAGAAGAUGGCGCACUGGGUGGUCCUCCGCCACGAAUGAUUCUCCGUCGCUUUGCGCCGACGGAGUAAUUGCGUGCUACGGUGGAGCGGUGGUGGUGGUGGGGUCCAGAUCCAGGUGAGGUGGCUGCGCCAGCUCAAGAAUCACACGGAGUAUGGAAAAAAUUCGCGGAUAGCUCCAUGAAAUGUAGGUGUCGAGGUAGAAUCGGAGUUGAAAUCUAUAUCGGGUUAGUUGUACUGGUUUGAAUGAAAUAAGGUGGGUAGUGUUUCCCCCAGAAAUGAUAUCGGAAGAAAGAAUUAGAGACGAGGAAUUUCCAGGCGGAAAUGCCUCUGCGGGGUUCUGGAUUUGAAAAUCCGACACACGGGGUAUGCACAGAUAGAUAGGGAUAUGUGACUUUGCAUUCCCCCGAGUACUGCCCGAAGGUACUCGUGGGUGAACCGGGUAUGUGUGUGUUAUGCAGUAAUCUACACUAACAAACAGACAGUGAUAAGAUCAUGCAACGAAAAACACAGCAGACAACUCAUUCUAAAGCGUUUUAAUGCUAGUGGGUAUAUAUAUAAUCCUGGCAUAUAUAUACCUAAACCAGCGCGCAUUUUAUUAAAAGACUCGGGAUGAGUAAAUAUUGUGUUUAGUGUAUGUGCUCUACUGAUUAAAAUAUUGUUAACUCACAUUGCCAACCCUGUCAAACAUCUCUGUUUGACAGAGAGACAAACCAACACAACAAUCCAAAAGCAAGAAAGCAACCAAAAACACAUCAUACGAGUUACAACAGUGCCAGCAUACAACCAAGCACGAGCACUCUACGUGCUAAACGAAACUACUCACUUUGGGAUACAGGGUUCUAUCCUCAUAUCGGGAAUGUACUGACAGACUGACCUACUAGCAGAAACGACUGGUUGUGCGGCUGAGAUCAAGCUGAGGGCUUGCUUUGCUGGGCCUCUCAGGGAGGACGAAGACUGGGUCAAUCUCCAUCUUCAUCAUCCGAGAUCACUAUGGGUUGGGGUUCGGCUACCGGGGGUGUGGCUGAAAUUGAUCCAAGCAUAUGCUGUUGGUGGCUCCAGAAAAGAGUCUUGUCAAGGGUGAUGAUGUUUGGCCGAGGCCACAACACCGGUUGAGAGGGUAGCACUGGCUCGGAUAGCGUUGGGUGAACCACUUGAGAUGCAAACUUACGAGCCUCACGGUAAGCUCCCUUGACAACUCGCACCGCAUCCUUGUCCAAGGUUCUGAAUUCGGCAAGCAUCCUUGAAAUCAUCAUUCCCUAGGCAGUGAUAUAUUGCACUAGGCGAGCGAUUGCGGGGUCAUUCCCUUGGAUAGAGGGGGAUGGUUGAAUUCCUGUCGUUGUAACAAUGGGGAAGAAAUAGAACUCCCUUCGAUCUGCUACUUGCGGGAACUUGGUUAAGAGGUAUAGGAUUGCCUCCACAGCAGCGGCCUGGAUGGCCAAAUCAGUGGUAGGCAUGGCUCUACCCUGAAAAACCAACGACUGGCCGUCGGCUGCGGGGCCGGGGCUGAUGUGCACUCUUGCAUCAUAGCGAUGAAGGUGAGGAACGAGUGUUGACUAAAACACCAGAUAGUCGGGGCUAGCAUCAUAGCCAAAGGCUUGGGUGAGCAUCUCAGCAAGAAGGGGUGGAAAGCCAGGAUGGUUGACGGCGCGUGUGCGGCUGUGGAACUUAGUAGUUUUGAGGGUGCUAGCCAUGACUGGAGUGUUACUAGCUAGGCUUCUCUGCAGGGACAUGGCUGAAUGAGGAGUAAGCGAUACGACUAGCGGAAAGGGGGCUUUUAUAGGCAGCCAUGCGGGACAUGCCUGCAUGGUGUGGCCCCUUUCCCUUAAUGGUGAAGGGCAAGCGUUGCGGCCAACCAGAAAGGACGUGGCUGCUACUUGCUCCAUGGAUAACUUGGCGGGGAUAGCUAGGUGAGGACGUGUCGGUCUCGACUGCGCCACCUGUUGAUUAACAGUGGCCAUGCCGGAUGCCACGGAUGAGUCAAAUCCCUUAGGGUAAUUACAGUUUAAUGGCAGCGGUGAUCUAAUGCUAGGAUAACCUAUGCCAGCCUGGCUGCUCUGAUACCAUGCCCUGUGGCACCCCGAUCUGCAUGGAGCAGGGGGCCUUCGUACGUCAGCCUAGUAUAACACCUGACGCAUGAUAGGUCCAUAAUACAGCAUUCCGGGUACAAGAAUAUUCAUCAAAUACAUGUACAUGAGAUUACAUCAUUGAUGAAUACAAUUAUCUGGCAUAGCCCCAACUAAUAAAUGACAGCGGAAGUCUGAUUGAAUGGCGGCGGAAGUCUUGGUUUGGCAGCAUAACAAUUCUGGCUAAGCUCCAAAAACUCACAGGACUAACAAGGUUACGGCCUAGCAAGACGGAUCAAGCGAACAAUAUGGGUAUGACCGACAAGACUGGCUUGACAAGCCAGGUCAGUACAUUAGAUGUACUUGCAAGACACACAAAUACAUAGCAUCCAAACAAGCAGAAGACAAAGCAAGAACCGAGCGCAUGCAACAACCUAUCUCAUAUUAAUUACUAAGCAUGGCAUGAUAAAGAUCAACUAAACAUGAACGAAAUCAUAGCAUCUGCUAACAUGGCAAUAACAUGGCAUAUCAGAUCAUGCUUCUAACAUGGCAAAGGUAAAACAUAUCAUAUCAGCUCAAUCAUGGCAUAAAUUAACAUAUCAAUCAAAGCAUGGCAUAGCAUCAUGAAAUUAUGCUGAAAAUAAACUACCAAUAAUAUCCAAUGCAGCCAUAGCAUAUUAACUUUAUGCAAUCAUCUUCUGUUCUAUCAUGGUUCUUUAAAUGCAAAUAAUGAUAUAUUACUCAUGCAAUGUAACCAAACUUGUACACCGAGUCCCUCGGACUCUCUUAUCAACGGGUUGCCUCGCAACCGAACAGUGAUCUUUCCGGCGAUCACAACCAAACCACCAUCGUGGUCCUGACCAGAGUAACUUGUCAUCCUUAAGGCAAUCACCACCAAAAUAACUCGUGAUCCUUACGGCGAUCACCACCAAAAUAACUCGUGAUCCUUACGGCGAUCACCACCAAAACAUCGUCGUGACUUCUCACGACUAUCUCAU